rnacentral:sRNA from 1 species
GCGAGUCCGUUCGCAUUAUAAAAUGCUA